rnacentral:misc_RNA from 1 species
GAUGAAGAACGUAGCGAAAUGCGAUAAGUAAUGUGAAUUGCAGAAUUCAGUGAAUCAUCGAGUCUUUGAACGCACAUUGCGCCCCCUGGUAUUCCGGGGGGCAUGCCUGUCCGAGCGUCAUUGCUGCCCUCAAGCACGGCUUGUGUGUUGGGCCCCGCCCCCCGGCUCCCGGGGGGCGGGCCCGAAAGGCAGCGGCGGCACCGCGUCCGGUCCUCGAGCGUAUGGGGCUUCGUCACCCGCUCCGUAGGCCCGGCCGGCGCCCGCCGGCGACCCCCCUCAAUCUUUUCAGGUUGACCUCGGAUCAGGUAGGGAUACCCGCUGAACUUAAGCAUAUCAAUAAGCGGAGGA